CAGUCGCCGCGGUAAUACAGAGGGUGCGAGCGUUAAUCGGAUUUACUGGGCGUAAAGCGUGCGUAGGCGGCUAAUUGAGUCGGAUGUGAAAUCCCCGAGCUUAACUUGGGAAUUGCAUUCGAUACUGGUUAGCGAGAGUGUGGGAGAGGAUGGUAGAAUUCCAGGUGUAGCGGUGAAAUGCGUAGAGAUCUGGAGGAAUACCGAUGGCGAAGGCAGCCAUCUGGCCUAACACUGACGCUGAGGUACGAAAGCAUGGGGAGCAAACAGGAUUAGAUACCCCCGUAGUCCCUGUCUCUUAUAC
rnacentral:rRNA from 1 species